AGCGGCGAAAGGGAUAGUAACACGUAGAUCACGUGCCCUCGGGUCAGGGAUAGCGUCGGGAAACUGACGGUAAUACCAGAUAAUGUCUCCGGACCAAAGAUUUAUUGCCCGAGGGGCGGUCUGCGUCCUAUUAGCUAGUUGGUGGGGUAAUAGCCUACCAAGGCGAAGAUGGGUAGCGGGUGUGAGAGCACGACCCGCAUCACUGGGACUGAGAUACUGCCCAGACACCUACGGGUGGCUGCAGUCGAGAAUCUUCCGCAAUGGACGAAAGUCUGACGGAGCGACGCCGCGUGCGGGAUGAAGGCCCUCGGGUUGUAAACCGCUGUCGUAGGGGAGCAAAUUUUGAGCGAUCCUAGGAGGAAGCACCGGCUAAACUCGUGCCAGCAGCCGCGGUAAUACGAGUGGUGCAAACGUUAUUCGGAAUCACUGGGCUUAAAGGGUGCGUAGGCGGCCAUGAAGGUCUGAUGUGAAAUACCACGGCUCAACCGUGGAAUGGCAUUGGAAACCACAUGGCUGGAGUGAGACAGAGGUGAGCGGAACAGAUGGUGGAGCGGUGAAAUGCGUUGAUAUCAUCUGGAACACCGGUGGCGAAAGCGGCUCACUGGGUCUUUACUGACGCUGAGGCACGAAAGCCAGGGGAGCAAACGGGAUUAGAUACCCCGGUAGUCCUGGCUGUAAACGAUGAGUACUAGUCCGAGGG
rnacentral:rRNA from 1 species